rnacentral:rRNA from 1 species
GAUGAACGCUGGCGGCGUGCCUAAUACAUGCAAGUCGAGCGAACGGACGAGAAGCUUGCUUCUCUGAUGUUAGCGGCGGACGGGUGAGUAACACGUGGAUAACCUACCUAUAAGACUGGGAUAACUUCGGGAAACCGGAGCUAAUACCGGAUAAUAUUUUGAACCGCAUGGUUCAAAAGUGAAAGACGGUCUUGCUGUCACUUAUAGAUGGAUCCGCGCUGCAUUAGCUAGUUGGUAAGGUAACGGCUUACCAAGGCAACGAUGCAUAGCCGACCUGAGAGGGUGAUCGGCCACACUGGAACUGAGACACGGUCCAGACUCCUACGGGAGGCAGCAGUAGGGAAUCUUCCGCAAUGGGCGAAAGCCUGACGGAGCAACGCCGCGUGAGUGAUGAAGGUCUUCGGAUCGUAAAACUCUGUUAUUAGGGAAGAACAUAUGUGUAAGUAACUGUGCACAUCUUGACGGUACCUAAUCAGAAAGCCACGGCUAACUACGUGCCAGCAGCCGCGGUAAUACGUAGGUGGCAAGCGUUAUCCGGAAUUUAUGGGCGUAAAGCGGCGCGUAGGCGGUUUUUUAAGUCUGAUGUGAAAGCCCACGGCUCAACCGUGGAGGGUCAUUGGAAACUGGAAAACUUGAGUGCAGAAGAGGAAAGUGGAAUUCCAUGUGUAGCGGUGAAAUGCGCAGAGAUAUGGAGGAACACCAGUGGCGAAGGCGACUUUCUGGUCUGUAACUGACGCUGAUGUGCGAAAGCGUGGGGAUCAAACAGGAUUAGAUACCCUGGUAGUCCACGCCGUAAACGAUGAGUGCUAAGUGUUAGGGGGUUUCCGCCCCUUAGUGCUGCAGCUAACGCAUUAAGCACUCCGCCUGGGGAGUACGACCGCAAGGUUGAAACUCAAAGGAAUUGACGGGGACCCGCACAAGCGGUGGAGCAUGUGGUUUAAUUCGAAGCAACGCGAAGAACCUUACCAAAUCUUGACAUCCUUUGACAACUCUAGAGAUAGAGCUUUCCCCUUCGGGGGACAAAGUGACAGGUGGUGCAUGGUUGUCGUCAGCUCGUGUCGUGAGGUGUUGGGUUAAGUCCCGCAACGAGCGCAACCCUUAAGCUUAGUUGCCAUCAUUAAGUUGGGCACUCUAAGUUGACUGCCGGUGACAAACCGGAGGAAGGUGGGGAUGACGUCAAAUCAUCAUGCCCCUUAUGAUUUGGGCUACACACGUGCUACAAUGGACAAUACAAAGGGCAGCGAAACCGCGAGGUCAAGCAAAUCCCAUAAAGUUGUUCUCAGUUCGGAUUGUAGUCUGCAACUCGACUACAUGAAGCUGGAAUCGCUAGUAAUCGUAGAUCAGCAUGCUACGGUGAAUACGUUCCCGGGUCU